GACGAACGCUGGCGGCGUGCUUAACACAUGCAAGUCGAACGGUGAAAGCGGAGCUUGCUCCGCUGGAUCAGUGGCGAACGGGUGAGUAACACGUGGGCAACCUGCCCCUCACUUCGGGAUAACUCUGGGAAACCGGGGCUAAUACCGGAUAUGACCUCCUUGGGCAUCCUUGGAGGUGGAAAGUUUUUCGGUGAGGGAUGGGCCCGCGGCCUAUCAGCUUGUUGGUGAGGUAGUGGCUCACCAAGGCGACGACGGGUAGCCGGCCUGAGAGGGCGACCGGCCACACUGGGACUGAGACGCGGCCCAGAGUCCAACGGGAGGCAGCAGUGGGGAAUAUCGCGCAAUGGGCGAAAGCCUGACGCAGCAACGCCGCGUGCGGGAUGACGGCCUUCGGGUUGUAAACCGCUUUCAGCAGGGAAGAAGCCGCAAGGUGACGGUACCUGCAGAAGAAGCACCGGCUAACUACGUGCCAGCCGCCGCGGUAA
rnacentral:rRNA from 1 species